AUACGGAGGGUGCGAGCGUUGUUCGGAAUUAUUGGGCGUAAAGCGCGUGUAGGCGGUUUGUUAAGUCUGAUGUGAAAGCCCUGGGGCUCAACCCAGGAAGUGCAUUGGAAACUGGCAGACUUGAAUACGGGAGAGGGUAGUGGAAUUCCUGGUGUAGGAGUGAAAUCCGUAGAUAUCAGGAGGAACACCGGUGGCGAAGGCGGCUACCUGGACCGAUAUUGACGCUGAGACGCGAAAGCGUGGGUAGC
rnacentral:rRNA from 1 species